rnacentral:rRNA from 1 species
UGGCGGACGGGUGAGUAACGCGUGGGUAACCUGCCUCAUACAGGGGGAUAACAGUUGGAAACGACUGCUAAUACCGCAUAAGCGCACAGGGUCGCAUGACCUGGUGUGAAAAACUCCGGUGGUAUGAGAUGGACCCGCGUCUGAUUAGCCAGUUGGUGGGGUAACGGCCUACCAAAGCGACGAUCAGUAGCCGACCUGAGAGGGUGACCGGCCACAUUGGGACUGAGACACGGCUCAAACUCCUACGGGAGGCAGCAUG